rnacentral:misc_RNA from 1 species
UUUCCGUAGGUGAACCUGCGGAAGGAUCAUUAUUGAAUAAACAGUGUGGGUUGUUGCUGGCCUUCUGGCAUGUGCCCGCCUGCCAUAUGUUUCAUUCCCUUCUUUCCACCUGUGCACUAUGUGUAGGCUAUGUAUGCUGUAUUGUCAGGCCCUUCAUAAGGCUUGGUUUAGAGAGGAUGCUUGUCUUUAUGAGACAGGCUCAUCUUGGGCGUACAGGUCUAUGUUUUACACCAACACCAAAUGAAUGUCUUAGAAUGUAUUUUUUCAGGCUCUUGCUAGCCUUUAAACCAUAUACAACUUUCAACAACGGAUCUCUUGGCUCUC